rnacentral:tRNA from 1 species
GCCGGCUUAGUAUAUUUUUGAGUGCGUGAGAUUGUAAAUCUUGAGGGGGUUUUCCAGUCGGAA